AGUGAACGCUGGCGGCAGGCCUAACACAUGCAAGUCGAGCGGCAGCGGGUCCCCGCGAGGGGAUGCCGGCGAGCGGCGGACGGGUGAGGAACACAUCGGAAUCUGCCUGGGUUGUCGGGGGAUAAACGGUAGGGAAACUUACGCUAAUACCGCAUGCGACCCUGAGUCGACGGACUUGGGGUGAAAGUGAGGGACCUUCGGGCCUCACGCGACCAGAUGAGCCGAUGUCGGAUUAGCUAGUUGGCGGGUAACGGCCGCCAAGGCGACGAUCCGUAGCUGGUCUGAGAGGAUGAUCAGCCACACUGGGACUGAGACACGGCCCAG
rnacentral:rRNA from 1 species